AAAAGAAAAACACAUAGUCAUCCACACAAAAAUACAAAAUACAUUCAACAAUACAACACCUCCAAAAAUGAUCCAGAACUGCUGAACGCUGUUGGAGAAAGUCUCACUGUGCAUCUGACUUUCUCCGCUAUAAAUUUAUGCUGAGCUCAUACAGCUUGGCUCUUUCCUCUGCAAAAGUUAAUUACUUCAAUACCCUCAUAACCACACUCUCCCGCGAACCCAAAGGACUAUUUCACACACUUAACUCUCUUCUUCGCCCUGUUGUUCCUCCUCCACCUACUAACUUGACCGCCUCACACUUUGCAACUCACUUCACUGAUAAGAUCUCUACAAUCAGGGAAGAGAUUUCUCAUUUUUCUUCUCCCCCUUACAAUACUUACCCUAACUUCACUCCCUCUGCUGUUCUAUGUUCAUUCACACCCGCUACAUUGGAAGAGGUUUCUGCUCUGCUCCAGUCCUCCCGCCCCACCGCCUGCUCCCUUGAUCCAAUUCCCUUGCAUCUCAUCCGUACUCUGUCUUCUUCUCUUUAUCCACCUCUUACUAAACUUCUCAAUCUCUCUCUCUCCUCUGGUAUAUUUCCAUUGCCCUUCAAACAUGCAACUGUAACCCCAAUUCUAAAGAAACCCAACCUUGACCCUAACUCCCCAUCCAACUAUCGUCCUAUCUCGCUACUGCCUUUUGCAUCCAAGAUCCUUGAAAGAAUUGUGUAUGUGAGAUUGACAGACUUCCUUGAGUCCAACUCUCUGCUAGACCCGCUUCAGUCUGGUUUCCACACUAAGCACUCUGUGGAAAUGGCACUGACCAAAGUAUCCAAUUAUCUACUUGUUGCAAAAUCUCGUGGUCACUACUCUAUCCUAAUUCUCCUUGACCUGUCUGCGGCUUUUGACACUGUUGAUCAUCAACAGCUUCUUCUCAUUCUUCGCAAUAUCGGUCUACAAGAUAUUGGUGCUCCUCCUACC